UUCCUCGACCUUGGAAUGCCCAGAAAUUGAAACAAUAUUACAGCUAAGUUAUUGCCACACCAAAAAGGCUGCUCGCACUUCAGAACACAACGAAUCGAGCACCUUAAACAACGAAGGGCACCAUGGCACACGUGCUCAUCUAAAACCAUAGCAGGGGAACUAAUUCACCAUAAGGGAAAUGGAACUCCUGCUAGACGAGGAUAACUCUUGAAACGAGCCCAUCGUCCCUGUGCCACGACCUAGCACCCAGCUCGCGAUGGGAGGUUCAGGUUGCGAAGAAAGGUACACUAGCGUGCUUGUAUUCGCGUAACUUAGAAACAACUCUAAGUGCUUAUACAGUUCCCUAAACUGUUUAAGUCAAAACAAGAGGAGACUACCCUCAAUAAAACAUGCUCAGUAUCAAGCAGGGGAAACCUCCCCGGCAAAAUAACAACGAGCGCAGCAUUCAUAAAUGCAAAAAUAUGAUAAGCAUACAAAAUAGGCAUAAAAAAUAAACAGGCAAAACUUAGCACACCAACUUGCUCGAAUGAGCAUACCAGCAUGCCCAGACGAGCACCUCAAUAACGGGGAGGUAAGCUCCCCGGCACGAAGUUGAAACAACAAAUUUCGUUAAGUUAAAAAUGGGGACAAGCUCCCCGGCUCAGAUUUUGAGCAAGAAAUUAGCAUAAAAUUUGGUUAAGUUAAAGGUAGGGACCAGACCUCCCCGGUUGAAAUUUUAACAACAAAAAUUCAUCAAAAAUUUUCCAAGUCAUUAGACGGGGAGGCUACCCGGUGAAAUUUUAAACAACAAAAUUUUAUCAAAAAUUUUCUAAGUAUUAGACGGGGAGGCUCCCCGGUUGAAAUUUUAGACAACAAAAUUUCGUAAAAUUUUCUAAGUUAAAGAAUGAGGAAACAUACAUGCGAGCAGGUAUAGACGCGCAGUUAUACGCAAGCAUAGAUAAAUAAAACGGGCACCUGCCCGGAAUUAUCAUAAAAAUCAAACGGGGACAAAAGCCCACUUGUUCCAAAAUUACAAACCAUGGCUCAAAGGCCCCAAAAAUUCAAAGAGACAAAAUAAAUUACAAUUGAAAGGAAAUUACAAUAGAAAGGCCGGGGAAAUCUACUCCUCGCACCUAUCUUCCUGCUCGUGCCCAUCACCCUGCUCGUCUUCAUGAACCUCCUCGAACGCCACUUCAACAUCAUCCUCCUCUUCAUCAGAGUCGGCCAGACCAGCCGGGAUAACAAUCUGCCCAUCCUUGACCUGCCCGUUCACAUGCAUUCCCCGGGUCACCAACUCCACGUCAGGAUUAAGACACUUGAUUUGCUGCACGACAUUCUCAAAGGCGUACUCAGUGCCCUCUACAAAGUCAUGGGACAGCUGAGCAAUCACCUUGACCA
rnacentral:lncRNA from 1 species